AAAUGAAUAGACGGGGGCCCGCACAAGCAGUGGAGUAUGUGGUUUAAUUCGAAGCAACGCGAAGAACCUUACCAGGGCUUGACAUCUACCGGAUCCUGUAGAGAUACGGGAGUGCCUUUUGGAGCGGUAAGACAGGUGGUGCAUGGUUGUCGUCAGCUCGUGUCGUGAGAUGUUGGGUUAAGUCCCGCAACGAGCGCAACCCUUGUUGUUAGUUGCUACCAUUAAGUUGAGCACUCUAGCGAGACUGCCGGUGACAAAUCGGAGGAAGGUGGGGAUGACGUCAAAUCAUCAUGCCCCUUAUGUCCUGGGCUACACACGUACUACAAUGGCUGUUAACAGAGGGAAGCGAAGCAGCGAUGCGGAGCAAAUCCCCAAAAGCAGUCUCAGUUCGGAUUGUAGGCUGCAACUCGCCUACAUGAAGUCGGAAUUGCUAGUAAUCGCAAAUCAGCAUGUCGCGGUGAAUACGUUCCCGGGCCUUGUACACACCGCCCGU
rnacentral:rRNA from 1 species